AGAAUCUAACACCUAGAGAGCUGUAUUUUUCAAGACUGUUGUGUUGUAAGCAAUUAGGCAUCUUCAUUUUUUAUGUGAAGCUAUAUUCAUUCAACCUGGAGUUUACUUUUAAGUAGUUUAGACCACACUUCAGAACUUAAUCACAUGAGUGGCUCCACCCUCACCUAAAGGUAAUGCUGCCUUUCCUGAAUACUAUCUGAUUUGGCCCUGAGAGCUCACCAGCUACACCUGCUCACUAACUGAAGAUACAGUAGCAAAAAUGAUUUCCUGAGUGGUUCAGAGUUGUUCACUUGCAUCAGCCCAAGACAUUUCCAAACCAAACCCUCCAAGUGGGUUGAGAGGGUAUGGUCUGUCUCCUCUGGUUCCUGACUAUUGAGUCCCACCAUGUCAGAACGUACAGCACGUCAAAAAGUCUGUGCAAUGCUCAAAAGUGAGAUGGGGAGAAGCUAGGUUGGCACCAUGAGAUAUUCUGCACAGCCCUUACUAAGCUGAUGCUCAGAUAAAUCCCUGCUGCCCAGUGUAAACUCCUUUACCUUCUACCUCCAAUUACCUCGUCUAAUGAUCCUCCAGCAAGAUGAGCUGUAUCCACUAUGCCCUAUCCCAUAUUCUUCAGGUGCCCUCUGUGCUCUGUCUGAAGUCAGCUCUGCAGGUGGCACUGUGUCCUGCCUGUUGGUGAGACAGCCAGGAGCACAGACAGCAAAGAGAGGCAGUCUUGAGACUCCGUCAUUUUAUCUGUUUGUUCAAAUGGAAAUGGAACAACAAAGUCCUCUGGGAGUUGUAGUUCACUCUUGUCUUCUGAGACCAGGAAACCAGAAAUGUUGACAAGCCACAGAACAGCAGUACUAAGCCUUUAACUCCAGUGCACUGCGAGAUGUGAUGGUGUGGAAUACUGACCAAAAAACAUAAAACCAGGACAAGAGAGUGUCUCUUGAACCGAGGCUGCUUGCUGUGACGGAGUGCUGUGUAGCCGUAGAGCCCCUUCACUAGUUGGGCAGGAUACAACCCACCUCUGACAGAAGAGUAGCUUCCAGCUGAUGAACUGAAUCACCUGGUUGCCUCAUUGGUACUAGUACAGAUCUGUAAUUAUUAUCGUUUGCAUUCUAGUAACAUUAGUCUAGAGACUAAUUA